GCCCAGGUGGAGAAAUUGGUAGACUCGUAUCCUUGAGGGGGAUAUGUCCUUACGGACGUGCUGGUUCGAAUCCAGUCCUGGGCA
rnacentral:tRNA from 1 species